CGGGGCCUAGCUCAGAUGGCUAGAGCGCUUGAUUUGCAUUCAAGAGGUCA
rnacentral:tRNA from 1 species